rnacentral:rRNA from 1 species
CGAACGGGUGAGUAACACGUGGGCAACCUGCCCAAAAGAGGGGGAUAACACUUGGAAACAGGUGCUAAUACCGCAUAACCAUAGUUACCGCAUGGUAACUAUGUAAAAGGUGGCUAUGCUACCGCUUUUGGAUGGGCCCGCGGCGCAUUAGCUAGUUGGUGGGGUAAAGGCUUACCAAGGCAGUGAUGCGUAGCCGAACUGAGAGGUUGAUCGGCCACAUUGGGACUGAGACACGGCCCAAACUCCUACGGAAGGCAGCAG